UACGUAGGGUGCGAGCGUUGUCCGGAAUUACUGGGCGUAAAGAGCUCGUAGGUGGUUUGUCGCGUUGUUCGUGAAAACCGGGGGCUUAACCCUCGGCGUGCGGGCGAUACGGGCAGACUGGAGUACUGCAGGGGAGACUGGAAUUUACGGUGUAGCAGUGAAAUGCGUAGAGAUCGUAAGGAAGACCAGUGGCGAAGGCGAGUCUCUGGACAGUUACUGACACUGAGGCACGAAGGCCAGGGGAGCAAACGGG
rnacentral:rRNA from 1 species